CCCACACAUCACUUGGCUAGGUAGAAUCAAUGUCCUUAAAAUGAAAGCACUACCCAGAUUUUUGUAUCUUCUCCAGACCCUAACAUUAGCUAUACCCCACGGGUUCUUCUCCUCAAUUCGCAGAUCCUUCAAUCAAUACGUUUGGCACAGACGGUAGGCGAGACUGAGCUACGAGAUCCUCACCCAAUCCAAACAACGGGGGGGUUGGGCUCACCAGACCUUGCCAAAUACAGCCAUGCAGUACACAUGCAGAGGAUCAUAGAGUGGACUCACUCCACCCCCUCCCUGAGAAACUCUGGAUUGCAAUAGUAC